UACGGGGGGGGGCAAGCGUUGUUCGGAAUUACUGGGCGUAAAGCGCGUGUAGGCGGCUUUGCAAGUCGGAUGUGAAAUCCCCGGGCUUAACCUGGGAACUGCGUUUGAAACUACAAGGCUAGAGUGUGGCAGAGGGGGGUGGAAUUCCACGUGUAGCAGUGAAAUGCGUAGAGAUGUGGAGGAACACCGAUGGCGAAGGCAGCCCCCUGGGUUAACACUGGACGCUCAGGCACGAAAGCGCGGGGAGCAA
rnacentral:rRNA from 1 species